rnacentral:misc_RNA from 1 species
GAUGAAGAACGUAGCGAAAUGCGAUACGUAAUGUGAAUUGCAAAUUCAGUGAAUCAUCGAGUCUUUGAACGCACAUUGCGCCCCCUGGUAUUCCGGGUGGCAUGCCUGUCCGAGCGUCAUUGCUGCCCUCAAGCACGGCUUGUGUGUUGGGCCCCGUCCUCCGAUCCCGGGGGACGGGCCCGAAAGGCAGCGGCGGCACCGCGUCCGGUCCUCGAGCGUAUGGGGCUUUGUCACCCGCUCUGUAGGCCUGGCCGGCGCUUGCCGAUCAACCCAAAUUUUUAUCCAGGUUGACCUCGGAUCAGGUAGGGAUACCCGCUGAACUUAAGCAUAUCAAUAAGCGGAGGA